rnacentral:rRNA from 1 species
AGCAGCCGCGGUAAUUCCAGCUCCAAUAGCGUAUAUUAAAGUUGUUGCAGUUAAAAAGCUCGUAGUUGAACUUCGGGGUUUACCCAUUGGUCAGGCUUAAUUGUCUGUACUGGUGAGAUGAAUCUCUACCUUCUGAGGAACUUUCAUGCCAUUUAGUCGGUGUGAUAGGAAAUCAGGACUGUUACUUUGAAAAAAUUAGAGUGUUUAAAGCAGGCUAACGUCUGAAUACAUUAGCAUGGAAUAAUGAAAUAGGACGGAUUGGUUCUAUUUCGUUGGUUUCUAGGAUCACCGUAAUGAUUAAUAGGGAUAGUUGGGGGCAUUAGUAUUCAAUUGUCAGAGGUGAAAUUCUUGGAUUUAUUGAAGACUAACUAUUGCGAAAGCAUUUGCCAAGGAUGUUUUCAUUAAUCAAGAACGAAAGUUAGGGGAUCGAAGACGAUCAGAUACCGUCGUAGUCUUAACCAUAAACUAUGCCGACUAGGGAUCGGACGAAGUUAAUUUUAUAAUGACGCGUUCGGCACCU